CUUUGCCAUAUCAAUAAGCGGAGGAAAAGAAACCAACAGGGAUUGCCCCAGUAAUGGCGAAUGAAGCGGCAAGAGCCCAAAUUUGAAAUCAGGCCCUCGUGGCUUGAGUUGUAAUUUGGAGACGGGAUACUAGAGAGAGGGAGGGCGACUAAGUGCCUUGGAACAGGCUGCCGUAGAGGGUGAGAGCCCCGUGAGUCGCGUGAACUCGAUCAAUUAGUGCCCGCCGAAGAGUCGAGUUGUUUGGGAAUAA
rnacentral:rRNA from 1 species